rnacentral:rRNA from 1 species
GUCGAGCGGAAGGCUCCUUCGGGGGUACUCGAGCGGCGAACGGGUGAGUAACACGUGAGUAAUCUGCCCUGGACUCUGGGAUAGCCACCGGAAACGGUGAUUAAUACCGGAUAUGACCACUAUCCGCAUGGGUUGGUGGUGGAAAGUUUUUUCGGUUCAGGAUGUGCUCGCGGCCUAUCAGCUUGUUGGUGAGGUAAUGGCUCACCAAGGCUUUGACGGGUAGCCGGCCUGAGAGGGUGACCGGUCACACUGGGACUGAGACACGGCCCAGACUCCUACGGGAGGCAGCAGUGGGGAAUAUUGGACAAUGGGCGGAAGCCUGAUCCAGCAACGCCGCGUGAGGGAUGACGGCCUUCGGGUUGUAAACCUCUUUCAGUACCGACGAAGCGAGAGUGACGGUAGGUACAGAAGAAGGACCGGCCAACUACGUGCCAGCAGCCGCGGUAAUACGUAGGGUCCGAGCGUUGUCCGGAAUUAUUGGGCGUAAAGGGCUCGUAGGCGGUUUGUCGCGUCGGGAGUGAAAACACCGGGCUUAACUCGGUGCUUGCUUUCGAUACGGGCAGACUAGAGGUAUGCAGGGGAGAAUGGAAUUCCUGGUGUAGCGGUGAAAUGCGCAGAUAUCAGGAGGAACACCGGUGGCGAAGGCGGUUCUCUGGGCAUUACCUGACGCUGAGGAGCGAAAGUGUGGGGAGCGAACAGGAUUAGAUACCCUGGUAGUCCACACCGUAAACGUUGGGCGCUAGGUGUGGGAUCCUUUCCACGGGUUCCGUGCCGUAGCUAACGCAUUAAGCGCCCCGCCUGGGGAGUACGGCCGCAAGGCUAAAACUCAAAGGAAUUGACGGGGGGCCCG